rnacentral:rRNA from 1 species
UACGUAGGGGGCAAGCGUUGUCCGGAAUUAUUGGGCGUAAAGGGCGCGUAGGCGGUGCGGUAAGUCUGCAGUGAAAUCUCUGGGCUCAACUCAGAGUCUGCUGUGGAAACUGCCGUGCUUGAGUGUGGGAGAGGUGAGUGGAAUUCCCGGUGUAGCGGUGAAAUGCGUAGAGAUCGGGAGGAACACCAGUGGCGAAGGCGACUACCUGGACCAGCACUGACACUGAGGCACGAAAGCGUGGGGAGCAAACAGG